CAGGCUACUCAUUCCAGCAAGAUGCAUCUUUCAUUUAGGGAACUUAAUUCCUUAGUUACUCCAUAGUUAAGCGUGCUUGGUCGGGAGUAGUGUUGGGAUGGGUGACCUCCUGGGAAGUUUCUCGGGGUGCGCAUGA
rnacentral:rRNA from 1 species